rnacentral:rRNA from 1 species
AUUGAACGCUGGCGGCAGGCCUAACACAUGCAAGUCGAGCGGAUGAAGGGAGCUUGCUCCUGGAUUCAGCGGCGGACGGGUGAGUAAUGCCUAGGAAUCUGCCUGGUAGUGGGGGAUAACGUCCGGAAACGGGCGCUAAUACCGCAUACGUCCUGAGGGAGAAAGUGGGGGAUCUUCGGACCUCACGCUAUCAGAUGAGCCUAGGUCGGAUUAGCUAGUUGGUGGGGUAAAGGCCUACCAAGGCGACGAUCCGUAACCGGUCUGAGAGGAUGAUCAGUCACACUGGAACUGAGACACGGUCCAGACUCCUACGGGAGGCAGCAGUGGGGAAUAUUGGACAAUGGGCGAAAGCCUGAUCCAGCCAUGCCGCGUGUGUGAAGAAGGUCUUCGGAUUGUAAAGCACUUUAAGUUGGGAGGAAGGGCAGUAAGUUAAUACCUUGCUGUUUUGACGUUACCAACAGAAUAAGCACCGGCUAACUUCGU